ACCACGGACCUUCCUGGCUUGCUAACUAAGUUUCUAUUUAAUUGGUUUUUACAACAUGACCUAGUUCCUGAGACUUCAGACUCUUGGAAGGCAGAAUGUGGCAGGAGUGUAAGAUCACCUGCACAGCGGCCAGAACAUCACAGCAAACACACAACACACAGGAAGCAUUUCCCAAAACACUGAGCAGAGAAUUCCAGAAGGACUCUGAGAAAACACAUGGCCUCUGCAGUCAGCAGCAGAUCCAAGGCCUCUUCUGUGGAGUCUGUUCCCUCUUCCCACCCACACAUCUCUGGAUACUUCUGCCAGCCAUAGAUUUUCCUUCUGUGUUUACCUCGUUUGAGGCUCAGGUGAAAAACCAGAUGACUUACAAAGGAAUCAGAUAUCGCCAUUGGCCUUUUCUCACAAGCCAAAACAUCAUGCCACUCGAUCUGUUUUUGUUUGCUUUUUAACAUGAAAAAAAUGCAGGCUGUGUAGAAUGGAAAAUUUGUGAGAAAUUCUAUUGAAAGAGAAAUUCAUUGAACUUGGUGGACAUCGACAAAAAAGUUUAGUCAUACUUAUUUUCUAAAUAAUAAACUAUACUUUGGUUGGGUAAGUUUGGAAAAUGUAAAGCAUGAAUAAAUGACACACAUUCCUUAAUCCUAAUUCUCAUAUAUGCUGUUUACAUUUUAUUGUAUAAUGCCUAUACACAAUAAACAAAAUCCAGGCUGUAUUC
rnacentral:lncRNA from 1 species